rnacentral:rRNA from 1 species
GACGAACGCUGGCGGCGUGCUUAACACAUGCAAGUCGAACGGAAAGGCCCUGCUUUUGUGGGGUGCUCGAGUGGCGAACGGGUGAGUAACACGUGAGUAACCUGCCCUUGACUUUGGGAUAACUUCAGGAAACUGGGGCUAAUACCGGAUAGGAGCUCCUGCUGCAUGGUGGGGGUUGGAAAGUUUCGGCGGUUGGGGAUGGACUCGCGGCUUAUCAGCUUGUUGGUGGGGUAGUGGCUUACCAAGGCUUUGACGGGUAGCCGGCCUGAGAGGGUGACCGGCCAGAUUGGGAAUGAGGUAACGGCCCGAAUUCUACGGGGGGGAGGAGGGGGGAAUUUUGGAAAAUGGGCGGAAGCCUGAUGCAGACAAGCCGGCUGGCGGAUGAACGGCUUUGGGGUUGAAAACCUCUUAGACUGUGAAGAAGGGUGAGUGGGCGUAAUGGGUAAAGAAGCACCGGCUAACUACGUG